GUCCAUGCCGUAAACGAUGAGUGUUCGCCCUUGGUCUACACGGUGCAGAUCGGGGGCCCAGCUAACGCGUGAAACACUCCGCCUGGGGAGUACGGUCGCAAGACCGAAACUCAAAGGAAUUGACGGGGGCCUGCACAAGCGGUGGAGCAUGUGGUUUAAUUCGAUACAACGCGCAAAACCUUACCAGCCCUUGACAUAUGAACAAUAAAACCUGUCCUUAAUGGGAUGGUACUUACUUUCAUACAGGUGCUGCAUGGCUGUCGU
rnacentral:rRNA from 1 species